AGAGUUUGAUCCUGGCUCAGGAUGAACGCUGGCGGCAGGCUUAAUACAUGCAAGUCGAACGGUAAGGUUUCUUGUAGCAAUACAAGAGACACACGAGUGGCGUACGGGUGCGUAACACGUGUGCAACCUGCCCUGUACAGGAACAAAACAUCGGGAAACUGGUGCUAAUAUUCCAUAUUAUCUUUAGCGGACAUCCGCUGAAGAUGAAAGCAGUGAUGUGGUACAGGAUGGGCACGCGUCCCAUUAGAUAGUUGGUGAGGUAACGGCUCACCAAGUCCGUGAUGGGUAGGGGUUCUGAGAGGAUAGGUCCCCCACAUUGGAACUGAGAACGGUCCAAACUCCUACGGGAGGCAGCAGUAAGGAAUAUUGGGCAAUGGACGGAAGUCUGACCCAGCCAUGCCGCGUGCAGGAAGACGGCCCUACGGGUUGUAAACUGCUUUAGUCAGGGGCUACAGUCGGACACGUGUGUCCGUAAGAAGGUACCUGAAGAAUAAGCAUCGGCUAACUCCGUGCCAGCAGCCGCGGUAAUACGGAGGAUGCAAGCGUUAUCCGGAUUUAUUGGGUUUAAAGGGUGCGCAGGCGGAGAGGUAAGUCAGUGGUGAAAAAUACGUGCUUAACAUGUACCGUGCCAUUGAUACUGUCUUUCUAGUAUGCAAGUGGCGUAGCCGGAAUGUGUUAUGUAGCGGUGAAAUGCAUAGAUAUAACACAGAACACCGAUCGUGAAGACAGGUUACGAACUUGCAAUAGACGCUCAGGCACGAAAGCGUGGGGAUCAAACAGGAUUAGAUACCCUGGUAGUCCACGCCGUAAACUAUGAUAACUUGUUGUUGGGCAGCAAUGCUCAGUGGCUAAGCGAAAGCGAUAAGUUAUCCACCUGGGGAGUACGAUCGCAAGGUUGAAACUCAAAGGAAUUGACGGGGGCCCGCACAAGCGGAGGAGCAUGUGGUUUAAUUCGAUGAUACGCGAGGAACCUUACCCAGGCUUGAAUUGUACCUGAAGACACCAGAGAUGGUGUUGCCUUCGGGCAGGUAUGAAGGUGCUGCAUGGUUGUCGUCAGCUCGUGUCGUGAGAUGUCAGGUUAAGUCCUAUAACGAGCGCAACCCUUACUGCCAGUUGCCAGCGGAUAAAGCCGGGGACUCUGGCGGGACUGCCUGCGCAAGCAGAGAGGAAGGUGGGGAUGACGUCAAAUCAGCACGGCCCUUAUGUCUGGGGCUACACACGUGCUACAAUGGCCGGCACAGAGGGUAGCUACACCGCAAGGUGGUGCGAAUCUCGAAAGCCGGUCUCAGUUCGGAUCGGAGUCUGCAACCCGACUCCGUGAAGUUGGAUUCGCUAGUAAUCGCGCAUCAGCCAUGGCGCGGUGAAUACGUUCCCGGGCCUUGUACACACCGCCCGUCAAGCCAUGGAAGCCGGAGGUACCUAAAGGAUGUAACCGUAAGGAGCGUCUUAGGGUAAAUUUGGUAACUGGGGCUAAGUCGUAACAAGGUAACC
rnacentral:rRNA from 1 species